UACGUAGGGUGCGAGCGUUGUCCGGAAUUAUUGGGCGUAAAGAGCUUGUAGGCGGUUUGUCGCGUCUGCUGUGAAAAUCCGGGGCUCAACCCCGGACUUGCAGUGGGUACGGGCAGACUAGAGUGUGGUAGGGGAGACUGGAAUUCCUGGUGUAGCGGUGAAAUGCGCAGAUACCAGGAGGAACACCGAUGGCGAAGGCAGGUCUCUGGGCCACUACUGACGCUGAGAAGCGAAAGCAUGGGGAGCGAACAGG
rnacentral:rRNA from 1 species